GCUUACGGCCAUACCACCCUGAGCAUGCCCGAUCUCGUCUGAUCUCGGAAGCUAAGCAGGGUCGGGCCUGGUUAGUACUUGGAUGGGAGACCGCCUGGGAAUACCAGGUGCUCUAAGCG
rnacentral:rRNA from 1 species